rnacentral:misc_RNA from 1 species
GUUGUUGCUGCUGUUUGGAGCUACCAUUCGGCGCAGGCGCCAUGUUGGACUGGCCGAGAAUGGAAGGGGUGUUUGAAUUUCUCAAAGGCGACGAUUUCUGAGUUGAGUUUGAUGGAGAAUGUUUUCCAGGUUGAUGCUGCUGCUGGAGAGGCAACAUGGUGGUUUGUGAUGUGCCAGGCAAGGCACCAGAAGAUGACCGUGGGCUACCUCCAGCAUUUUUAGAGACUGGAGUUUGGGACAUUGAUGCAUUGUUGCUACCAUGGUGCGGCUGGGCAGCCGGAGUGGAUGGUUUGGCGGAAUUCA